rnacentral:rRNA from 1 species
GGCGAAAGCCGGAUUAAUACCGCAUAAGCUCUGAGGAGGAAAGUGGGGGACCUUCGGGCCUCACGCUGAAGGAGCGGCCGAUGUCAGAUUAGCUAGUUGGUGGGGUAAAGGCCUACCAAGGCGACGAUCUGUAGCUGGUCUGAGAGGAUGAUCAGCCACACUGGAACUGAGACACGGUCCAGACUCCUACGGGAGGCAGCAGUGGGGAAUUUUGGACAAUGGGGGCAACCCUGAUCCAGCCAUGCCGCGUGCGGGAAGAAGGCCCUCGGGUUGUAAACCGCUUUCAGAUGGAAAGAAAUGGUGUAGGUUAAUAACCUGCAUUGAUGACGGUACCAUCAGAAGAAGCACCGGCUAACUACGUGCCAGCAGCCGCGGUAAUACGUAGGGUGCGAGCGUUAAUCGGAAUUACUGGGCGUAAAGCGUGCGCAGGCGGUUCUUUAAGACAGGUGUGAAAUCCCCGGGCUUAACCUGGGAAUUGCGCUUGUGACUGGAGGGCUAGAGUGUGGCAGAGGGGAAUGGAAUUCCUGGUGUAGCAGUGAAAUGCGUAGAUAUCAGGAGGAACACCGAUGGCGAAGGCAGU